UCCGAAGUAGCCAUUUCACCAAUCCUGUC
rnacentral:piRNA from 1 species